AUGAACGCUAGCUACAGGCUUAACACAUGCAAGUCGAGGGGCAGCAUGAACUUAGCUUGCUAAGUUUGAUGGCGACCGGCGCACGGGUGAGUAACACGUAUCCAACCUGCCGAUGACUCGGGGAUAGCCUUUCGAAAGAAAGAUUAAUACCCGAUGGCAUAGUUCUUCCGCAUGGUAGAACUAUUAAAGAAUUUCGGUCAUCGAUGGGGAUGCGUUCCAUUAGGUUGUUGGCGGGGUAACGGCCCACCAAGCCUUCGAUGGAUAGGGGUUCUGAGAGGAAGGUCCCCCACAUUGGAACUGAGACACGGUCCAAACUCCUACGGGAGGCAGCAGUGAGGAAUAUUGGUCAAUGGACGAGAGUCUGAACCAGCCAAGUAGCGUGAAGGAUGACUGCCCUAUGGGUUGUAAACUUCUUUUAUACGGGAAUAAAGUGAGGCACGUGUGCCUUUUUGUAUGUACCGUAUGAAUAAGGAUCGGCUAACUCCGUGCCAGCAGCCGCGGUAAUACGGAGGAUCCGAGCGUUAUCCGGAUUUAUUGGGUUUAAAGGGAGCGUAGGCGGACGCUUAAGUCAGUUGUGAAAGUUUGCGGCUCAACCGUAAAAUUGCAGUUGAUACUGGGUGUCUUGAGUACAGUAGAGGCAGGCGGAAUUCGUGGUGUAGCGGUGAAAUGCUUAGAUAUCACGAAGAACUCCGAUUGCGAAGGCAGCUUGCUGGACUGUAACUGACGCUGAUGCUCGAAAGUGUGGGUAUCAAACAGGAUUAGAUACCCUGGUAGUCCACACAGUAAACGAUGAAUACUCGCUGUUUGCGAUAUACAGUAAGCGGCCAAGCGAAAGCGUUAAGUAUUCCACCUGGGGAGUACGCCGGCAACGGUGAAACUCAAAGGAAUUGACGGGGGCCCGCACAAGCAGUGGAGUAUGUGGUUUAAUUCGACGCAACGCGAAGAACCUUACCAGGUCUUGACAUCGAUCUAAAGGCUCCAGAGAUGGAGAGAUAGCUAUAGAGAAGACAGGUGGUGCAUGGUUGUCGUCAGCUCGUGUCGUGAGAUGUUGGGUUAAGUCCCGCAACGAGCGCAACCCCUGUACUUAGUUGCCAGCAUGUAGAGAUGGGAACUCUAAGUAGACUGCCGCGAAUAACGCGGAGGAAGGUGGGGAUGACGUCAAAUCAUCAUGCCCUUUAUGUCCUGGGCUACACACGUACUACAAUGGGUGUAACAGAGGGAAGCAACACAGCGAUGUGAAGCGAAACCCAAAAAGCACCCCCAGUUCGGAUUGAAGGCUGAAAUUCGCCUUCAUGAAGCCGGAAUUGCUAGUAAUGGCAGGUCAGCAUACUGCCGUGAAUACGUUCCCGGGCCUUGUACACACCGCCCGUCACACCAUGAGAGUUGGGAAUACCCGAAGCCUGUAAGCUAACGCAAGAGGCAGCAGUCGAAGGUAGAAUCAAUGAUUGGGGUG
rnacentral:rRNA from 1 species